rnacentral:rRNA from 1 species
GACGAACGCUGGCGGCGUGCUUAACACAUGCAAGUCGAACGGAAAGGCCCUGCUUUUGUGGGGUGCUCGAGUGGCGAACGGGUGAGUAACACGUGAGUAACCUGCCACUGACUUUGGGAUAACCUCAGGACACUGGAUCUCAUACCGGCUAAGAUCUCCCGCCGCAUGGUGGGGGUGCGAAAGUUUCGGGGGUUGGGGAUGGACACGCGGCCUAUCAGCUUGUUGGUGGGGUAGUGUCUUACCAAGGUUUUGACGGGUAGCCGGCCUGAGAGGGGAACCGGCCAAAUUGGGCUUGGAAUGCGGCCCAGACUCGUACGGGAGGGGGCGGUGGGGAAUGGUGUACAGGGGGCGGAACCCUAAUGCGACAACGCCGUGUGGGGUGUGAGGGCCUUGGGUUUGUAAACCAAUUCCGCCUGUGACGAGGCGUUAGUGACGGUAAUGGGUAAAGAAGCACCGGCUAACUACGUG